ensembl:scaRNA
GGUCAGUGAUGAAUAGUAAAAGGUCUGACAUCCAAGGUCACCUCCCAGCAGCCUACAUCCCCAGCUGCUUGCUUCUCCCAUCAUGCUCUAGUAGUGCUAUUGUGGGCUAAAGCAGUAGCUGACAUGCAGUGAUGUCUCCAUUCUGUGAUCCCUGACAAGCCCAGAGGAGACCCUGGUUGGCAUCAGACAGCUCAAUCACAAAGGGAUUUGAUUGUUGGGAGUGCUGAUAUCCUUGGCUAUGAUCUGACAUUUUAAGCUGAGACC